GAUGAACGCUGGCGGCGUGCCUAAUACAUGCAAGUCGAGCGAACAGACGAGAAGCUUGCUUCUCUGAUGUUAGCGGCGGACGGGCGAGUAACACGUGGGUAACCUACCUAUAAGACUGGGAUAACUCCGGGAAACCGGGGCUAAUACCGGAUAAUAUUUUGAACCGCAUGGUUCGAUAGUGAAAGACGGUUUCGGCUGUCACUUAUAGAUGGACCCGCGCCGUAUUAGCUAGUUGGUAAGGUAGCGGCUUGCCAAGGCGACGAUACGUAGCCGACCUGAGAUGGUGAUCGGCCACACUGGAACGGAGAUACGGUCCAGACUCCUACGGGAGGCAGCAGUAGGGAAUCUUCCGCAAUGGGCGAAAGCCUGACGUAGCAACGCCGCGUGAGUGAUGAAGGUCUUCGGAUCGUAAAACUCUGUUGUUAGGGAAGAACAAAUUUGUUAGUAACUGAACAAGUCUUGACGGUACCUAACCAGAAAGCCACGGCUAACUACGUGCCAGCAGCCGCCGUAA
rnacentral:rRNA from 1 species